rnacentral:tRNA from 1 species
CGGGAUGUAGCGCAGCCUGGAUAGCGCAUUUGACUGGGGGUCAAAGGGUCGCAGGUUCAAAUCCUGUCAUCCCGA